GGACGUAGGGGCGAGCGUUGUCCGGAAUUACUGGGCGUAAAGAGCACGUAGGCGGGAACCUAAGUCAGGUGUGAAAGACCGUGGCUCAACCACGGGGUGGCAUUUGAAACUGGGUUUCUUGAGGGCAGGAGAGGAAAGCAGAAUUCCUGGUGUAGCGGUGAAAUGCGUAGAAAUCAGGAGGAAUACCAGUGGCGAAGGCGGCUUUCUGGACUGACCCUGACGCUGAGGUGCGAAAGCGUGGGUAGCAAACAGGAUUAGAUACCCUGGUAGUCCCUGAG
rnacentral:rRNA from 1 species